rnacentral:rRNA from 1 species
UCGCGUAGCGAAAGCGAAUGCUUUGGGGUGGGGUGACUGCGUACCUUUUGUAUAAUGGGUCAGCGACUUAUAUUCUGUAGCAAGGUUAACCGAAUAGGGGAGCCGGAGGGAAACCGAGUCUUAAUUGGGCGUUAAGUUGCAGGGUAUAGACCCGAAACCCGGUGAUCUAGCCAUGGGCAGGUUGAAGGUUGGGUAACACUAACUGGAGGACCGAACCGACUAAUGUUGAAAAAUUAGCGGAUGACCUGUGGCUGGGGGUGAAAGGCCAAUCAAACCGGGAGAUAGCUGGUUCUCCCCGAAAGCUAUUUAGGUAGCGCCUCGUGAAUUCAUCUCCGGGGGUAGAGCACUGUUUCGGCUAGGGGGCCAUCCCGGCUUACCAACCCGAUGCAAACUGCGAAUACCGGAGAAUGUUAUCACGGGAGACACACGGCGGGUGCUAACGUCCGUCGUGAAGAGGGAAACAACCCAGACCGCCAGCUAAGGUCCCAAAGUCAUGGUUAAGUGGGAAACGAUGUGGGAAGGCCCAGACAGCCAGGAUGUUGGCUUAGAAGCAGCCAUCAUUUAAAGAAAGCGUAAUAGCUCACUGGUCGAGUCGGCCUGCGCGGAAGAUGUAACGGGGCUAAACCAUGCACCGAAGCUGCGGCAGCGACACUGUGUGUUGUUGGGUAGGGGAGCGUUCUGUAAGCCUGUGAAGGUGUGUCGUGAGGCAUGCUGGAGGUAUCAGAAGUGCGAAUGCUGACAUAAGUAACGAUAAAGCGGGUGAAAAGCCCGCUCGCCGGAAGACCAAGGGUUCCUGUCCAACGUUAAUCGGGGCAGGGUGAGUCGACCCCUAAGGCGAGGCCGAAAGGCGUAGUCGAUGGGAAACGGGUUAAUAUUCCCGUACUUGGUGUUACUGCGAAGGGGGGACGGAGAAGGCUAUGUUGGCCGGGCGACGGUUGUCCCGGUUUAAGCGUGUAGGUGUGUGUUCCAGGUAAAUCCGGUUCACUUUAACACUGAGGCGUGACGACGAGGCACUACGGUGCUGAAGCAACAAAUGCCCUGCUUCCAGGAAAAGCCUCUAAGCAUCAGGUAACAUCAAAUCGUACCCCAAACCGACACAGGUGGUCAGGUAGAGAAUACCAAGGCGCUUGAGAGAACUCGGGUGAAGGAACUAGGCAAAAUGGUGCCGUAACUUCGGGAGAAGGCACGCUGACACGUAGGUGAAGUGAUUUACUCAUGGAGCUGAAGUCAGUCGAAGAUACCAGCUGGCUGCAACUGUUUAUUAAAAACACAGCACUGUGCAAACACGAAAGUGGACGUAUACGGUGUGACGCCUGCCCGGUGCCGGAAGGUUAAUUGAUGGGGUCAGCGCAAGCGAAGCUCCUGAUCGAAGCCCCGGUAAACGGCGGCCGUAACUAUAACGGUCCUAAGGUAGCGAAAUUCCUUGUCGGGUAAGUUCCGACCUGCACGAAUGGCGUAAUGAUGGCCAGGCUGUCUCCACCCGAGACUCAGUGAAAUUGAACUCGCUGUGAAGAUGCAGUGUACCCGCGGCAAGACGGAAAGACCCCGUGAACCUUUACUAUAGCUUGACACUGAACAUUGAGCCUUGAUGUGUAGGAUAGGUGGGAGGCUUUGAAGUGUGGACGCCAGUCUGCAUGGAGCCGACCUUGAAAUACCACCCUUUAAUGUUUGAUGUUCUAACGUGGACCCGUUACCCGGGUUGCGGACAGUGUCUGGUGGGUAGUUUGACUGGGGCGGUCUCCUCCUAAAGAGUAACGGAGGAGCACGAAGGUUGGCUAAUCCUGGUCGGACAUCAGGAGGUUAGUGCAAUGGCAUAAGCCAGCUUGACUGCGAGCGUGACGGCGCGAGCAGGUGCGAAAGCAGGUCAUAGUGAUCCGGUGGUUCUGAAUGGAAGGGCCAUCGCUCAACGGAUAAAAGGUACUCCGGGGAUAACAGGCUGAUACCGCCCAAGAGUUCAUAUCGACGGCGGUGUUUGGCACCUCGAUGUCGGCUCAUCACAUCCUGGGGCUGAAGUAGGUCCCAAGGGUAUGGCUGUUCGCCAUUUAAAGUGGUACGCGAGCUGGGUUUAGAACGUCGUGAGACAGUUCGGUCCCUAUCUGCCGUGGGCGCUGGAGAACUGAGGGGGGCUGCUCCUAGUACGAGAGGACCGGAGUGGACGCAUCACUGGUGUUCGGGUUGUCAUGCCAAUGGCACUGCCCGGUAGCUAAAUGCGGAAGAGAUAAGUGCUGAAAGCAUCUAAGCACGAAACUUGCCCCGAGAUGAGUUCUCCCUGAGACUUAGAGUCUCCUGAAGGAACGUUGAAGACGACGACGUUGAUAGGCCGGGUGUGUAAGCGCAGCGAUGCGUUGAGCUAACCGGUACUAAUGAACCGUGAGGCUUAACCUUACAACGCCGAAG